GCAAGAAUCAAGUUUCUAGUAAACUUGGACAUGUGGGAAAAAAGAUUUCCUCCUGAGAAUCCAACUAGAAAAUUCCCAGGGCCAGCCCAGUGGCUCAGCGGGCUCUGGAACGGCACAGAAGAAUUCGUCGGCCCUAACGUUCUGGUAAAAUUCCGCUGCGGAAACAUCUGGACCUGGUGUUCUUUUGGAGCGGCUCUUUGCUUUUCUUCUCUACUUCUCCUGUGAUAGUUGGCUUAAGGUACUGAUUCUCUUCAAGCUGAAUGCUAUGAUUUGCCCCGUAGAGUAGCCAUGGGCAGCAAACGUGGAUUCAUACAGCUGUCUGAGAAGGUUCCCAAUGAAUACGUGAAUUUAGAACCAUCUUUGAAAAAGAGGAAGGCACAAAGAAGAAGAGUGCACUUACCAGAACUUAAGCUCAUAAGCUGGUGAAGCAAGAUCCCUGUACGGGCCACCAGAAGAAAUGAUGCGGGCUCGGCGAGCCGAGGAGUUGAAAGAAAGAUUUCUUGGACUCUCAAGGUCUAGGAGCAGGGCUCCUUUAUUCAGAGU
rnacentral:lncRNA from 1 species